rnacentral:rRNA from 1 species
UACAGAGGUCCCGAGCGUUGUUCGGAUUCACUGGGCGUAAAGGGUGCGUAGGUGGUGAGGUAAGUCGGAUGUGAAAUCUCCAAGCUCAACUUGGAAAUGGCAUUGGAAACUACCUUGCUGGAGGUUUGGAGGGGGGGCUGGAAUUCUCGGUGUAGCAGUGAAAUGCGUAGAUAUCGGGAGGAACACCAGUGGCGAAGGCGAGUCCCUGGACAAAACCUGACACUGAGGCACGAAAGCUAGGGGAGCAAACAGG